GAUGAACGCCGGCGGUGUGCCUAAUACAUGCAAGUCGAGCGCACUGGCCCAACUGAUAUGACGUGCUUGCACUGAUUUGACGAUGGAUUACCAGUGAGCGGCGGACGGGUGAGUAACACGUGGGCAACCUACCCUAAAGCGGGGGAUAACAUUUGGAAACAGGUGCUAAUACCGCAUAACUACGAAAACCACAUGGUUUUCGUAUCAAAGAUGGUUUCGGCUAUCACUUUAGGAUGGGCCCGCGGUGCAUUAGCUAGUUGGUAGGGUAACGGCCUACCAAGGCAAUGAUGCAUAGCCGAGUUGAGAGACUGAUCGGCCACAAUGGAACUGAGACACGGUCCAUACUCCUACGGGAGGCAGCAGUAGGGAAUCUUCCACAAUGGGCGCAAGCCUGAUGGAGCAACACCGCGUGAGUGAAGAAGGGUUUCGGCUCGUAAAACUCUGUUGUUGAAGAAGAACGUGCAUGAGAGUAACUGUUCAUGCAGUGACGGUAUUCAACCAGAAAGUCACGGCUAGCUAC
rnacentral:rRNA from 1 species